rnacentral:lncRNA from 1 species
UUUUUAUUUUUCAAAAAUACAGAUGCAUCUUCAGAAUACUUUCUUUGUAACAAUUGAAUAGUUUUCUAGUAGAAGGAUUUACCAAAAUUUAGUUAACAAUUUCCUAGUGAUUGAAAAAGGGAUAUUUCAAAUGUAAGAAAUUUCGUUUUGAUAUUUUAAAUUUUAAUUUAAUUCCCUCUUAUUCUUGGUGCAUUAUAGUUGUGGUAAUGUUCGUAUUUGUUGUUACAUAGUCGUUCAAGCACAAUAUAGCAACAGAAUUUGGCCAAUAUAAUUCCCCUGUAUUUCCUUUCUCUCCUCUCCUCCCUCCCCCUGGUGGGUCUUUUUCCUCUACUCUACUGAUCUCCCUUUGAUUUUUCAUGAGACACCCGCCUUUCUUUUCCUUGAAAAGAAAAUUCUAAAAAGUUGAUAUCACAUGAACUUGGAAGCAACUGGACCUGCCACCGUGACUCAGAACAACCUUUGAUAGAGACAUCCGUGCUGGGCAAAGGGGCCACGUGGAGUUCAUGGCAAUUCCUCCCUGGAAAGGCACAACACCGCCCCUGGAGUGCAGAAUUAAAUGCCACCGCAGCGGGAAAACUUAAAGCGUUUUCUGUCAUGCUCUUGGGUCUCUGGAGAGAGAGGCUCUUCCCCCACUUCUGAAAACGAAAGUGGCACUGGGGACCCUUACCAAGCCUUCUUGCUUCUUCGAAUCCUCCUGCCCUUAUUUUCAUUUUAUUUUACUUUUAAAAGAUGGACACAAUAUCUUUAUUGAGUUUUAUGUGCUGCUGAGGCUCCACCCAGUGCGAGGCAAUGGCUCUACCCCUGCGCUAUAAUCCCAGCCCCUGCCCUAACUUUUCCCUCUCUUUCCUGCUCCCUGAGCUACCUGGGUCCUGAGGCUCCCACCACUGGAGCAAGGUGCAGAACCCUCCGCAGGGACGCAGACCAGUGGGGCGGAACCCGCAGGGGAAGCCUGGGGACUGAAGGCAAGAGCAGAGCCAGGCAUGAGCAUGGGGUAGACCCCACCUGCCACAGGUCCCAGCUCCGGAGCCCUGGAGACCUGCCUCCCGGUGCCAGGCCUUUAAAGCCCAAGGCCCCUCCACCCUGGUGCCCAGUGCCCUACUUCCCCUCUGCUGCCCUCGCCUGGGUCCCAGUUCCUGGGAGCACGCGGGCCAGACACUCCCCAGCGACUCUGGAGGCCUAGCCACUGGCAUCUGCCCUCCCAGCCUCACUCCCUGCGCCACCCUGGCUGAGACCCAGAGAAGGUGAACCCAAAUCAAAGGAUAAAGUUGGGGCUUCCAGUUUCAUCCUCUUUCCCACCUUUGGACUCUGAAAAGACCAAAGAAUUUCGGUCACCCAGUAAACUCCCAUCUAAAAUCAACGUGGUCCAAGUCAGCUAGACCGUCAUCAAGGAGAGUUCUGGGUAGAUUCUGUGCCCUGGAACCUAAACCUUCAGGAAAAACUCUGAAAGCAGAAGUAAAAAGCAACUUCUCCUUUAUGAAAAGUUCUGACAGCCAAACAGGAAAUGCGCAGCUCUGCUGCCAUUCUUGAGGCAGAAAGAAUCAUUUUUCCCCCUUUUUCUUUAGAGGUAGUGAGGAUUGAAUCCAGGCACACUCCACCAUGGAGCUAAAUCCUCUGCUCCUCUAAAAAUUUUAAAUUUUGGACAGCAUAAAUGUCCCUAAAUCGCCUAGGCCGGCCUCGAACUUGCAAUGCUUCUGCUUCACCUCCAAGAAGCUGGGAUCACAGGCAUGUGCAGUAGCCCCUGGCUAUGAUUAACCUCUUAAGGUUUCCUUUGGUCACUUUUAUUGUUAUCUGGAGAUCCAAUCAUUUAAACAUCCAUUCAACUACUAGGUAAGCACCAUUUAAAUAACUUCAAAUACACAUUUCAGGCCAGUGGGGGGAUGAGUGAAAUGAUCACCUGACUCUAAGACCACUCUGGCUUCUUGAUGAGUGGCCCCUGGCCUGAGAUCUCUUAUUCUGCCAUCCAGAGGUUCAGACACAGGGCCCCAUCUCAUGGCCUGGGCCUCAGGCCUGUGGCAUCAAAGAGGGGGAAAGGAACUACUGAGUUAGGAAAGCCCUGGUGAGGGAUCAGCUUGUCUAAGUGCAGGGCACUUGCAUAAUCUCUUCCUUGACCUUCAUUCCACCAGAGAGCACUAACUGACAGAAGUGGAAAUUGAUGCAGGAAAACAUUUAAAAAAGGAGUGCAACACUCAUCAGUCAAAAUGUCAUGAUUUCUAUUUCUGAAAUUACAAUCUACAACUCACACUCUUUUAGCCAACUCUGGAGCUGAUUCCAUCUCCAUUUGGGAUCUGGUUUGAGUUUGGAGGCCAGGAACUUCCUCCUGACUCACUUGCUCUACUUGAUUUAUCUCCCUUCUGUUAUUGUUAUUAUUUUAAUUAGAAUAUUAUAAUUCUCUAUAUAAGUGGGAUUCAGUGUGGUCCAUUUAUACAUGGACAUAACACAAUUUCAUACCUUAUAGCCUUCCCUUGUCCCAUUCUCUUGAUUCUCCUUUCUCUAUUGUCAACUUUAGUCUUUAAGGGACAAAUAUCCUGUAGGCUUUCUAUCUUCAAUAUAUUUUUAACAUACUUAGCAGAGAAAUUCUAAAGUUUUCUUCUUAAGUUUCUGUCCUUGGUUAUUCAAACACUAAUCUAGACCCAGCUCUGAGAAGGUUUUGUAGCUGAAAUUAUAAAGCAGUUGCCCUCCAACAGAAAAACCUUUCCAGGUUACCUGAGAGGGCCCAGGGCCAUCAGAUGAGCCUUUAAAAUCAGAGGACUUUCUCAGGCUGGAGGCAAGAAGGAGGAAGCAGAAGGAGAAGUUUGACUGUAAGCAAGAGAAGGAUUAGAUGUGCUGUUGCUGGAUCUGAGGUGUGUGGACCAGAGAGAGGCCUCUUAAAGUGAAGGAGUGCCCUGCUCACAGCCAGCAAGGAAGUGGAUUCUGCCAACAAUCGGAAUGCCCUUGGAAGCACAGCUUUUUCAAAGCUUCCGCAUCACAGUUUAGCUCUUCAGCAUCUUGAUUUUGACCUUCUGAAAUCCAAAGUGGAGACAUCAGUUGAGCCAACUCAGAUUUCUGACCUAAUGAAUUGUAAGAUAAUAAAUGUGUUGAAAAGCAGCUAGGUUUGGGAUAAUUUGUCAUGACUGCAAUAAAAAAUGAAUACCAACUCCUUCCCAUUUAAAUGAGAAUUUGACUGGAUAUAAAGUUCUUUUCUUCAAUGCUUUAGAAAUAAUAUUCCUUUGUCCCCAUGUGACCAGGGUGGCUGUCCAGGAAUCUGUUGCUGUGCUUGCUUCUUACUUGUUUCUCAGGGCCAUCCGGGAAGGGAGCCAGAAGGCUAUGCUGGUUUGUUGCCUCUGCUGAGUUCUACAGUCUACUUCGUUGCCAAUCAUGGUCUCAUGGAUAUGGGGAGGUUUAAUUUGUUUCUCUUCUUUUCAUGGUUGCAGUCAUAGAUACGACAAAUUUAAUGUUUCACUUUUAUUCAGCUACUACUAAUCUUGCCUUCACCUCCCUUUUAUAAAAACCAAAUUCAUUGAUCUAACACUCCUCCUUAUCUUUGGAAGUAUGUUAGAAAUAUGUAGGCAUUUUUCAAUUUAUGAGGCAUAUUCCCAGGCUACAGAAGUAAAAAGAGAUGCAUGGUAUUACUUCUGCAUGAGUCAUCGUACCAACCUGUCAAUUCUGAAAAUCAUAUUUCCAUGCAGCACCAUCUUCAGGUUUGCAUGGGGAAAAAUAAUUCUUUUUUUUCAGUAAAAACAAUUUAGCUUUUAGACAAAGUGAAUUCUCGAACUACAUUAAGUACACUUUGACCUUCAGGAUUUUAUAGAUUUCAAAAAAAACAUUUACUGUAAUUAUGAUAGUUAUUUUAAUAAAACAUACACUCCUUUUCAGUCACUGGAAGCACAUGUUAAUCAUAGCCUUUAACACUAGUCAUACUUUCAGCUUCAUAAUCAGAUAUUAUGAGAUAUUUUAUGGCUGAGUUUUUUUUCAAAAUUUUUAUUAUUAUAAUGUGUUAUACAUAGUACACUUAUAGAGCAUAAUUUUUUUGUCUCUGUACACACCAUUUGGACUUCAUACAUGUACUUAGCAUACUGAUGUCCAUCUCAUUCCACCACCUUUCCUAUCCCAUACCCUUUCCUUCCCCUCCCUUCCCUUUGCCCUAUUUAAAGUUCCUCCAUUCCUCCCUUUCUUUCCCCACCCAUCACCAUUGUGGAUCAGCAUCCACGUAUCAGAGAAAACAUUCAGC